GAUGAACGCUGGCGGCGUGCCUAAUACAUGCAAGUCGAGCGAACGGACGAGAAGCUUGCUUCUCUGAUGUUAGCGGCGGACGGGUGAGUAACACGUGGAUAACCUACCUAUAAGACUGGGAUAACUUCGGGAAACCGGAGCUAAUACCAGAUAAUAUUUUGAACCGCAUGGUUCAAGAGUGAAAGACGGUAUUGCUGUCACUUAUAGAUGGAUCCGCGCUGCAUUAGCUAGUUGGUAAGGUAACGGCUUACCAAGGCAACGAUGAAUAGCCGACCUGAGAGGGGGAUCGGCCACACUGGAACUGAGACACGGUCCAGACUCCUACGGGAGGCAGCAGUAGGGAAUCUUCCGCAAUGGGAGAAAGCCUGACGGAGCAACGCCGCGUGAGUGAUGAAGGUCUUCGGAUCGUAAAACUCUGUUAUUAGGGAAGAACAUAUGUGUAAGUAACUGUGCACAUCUUGACGGUACCUAAUCAGAAAGCCACGGCUAACUACGUG
rnacentral:rRNA from 1 species